CUUAUGUUAUUUUAUAGAUGUAGGAUAUUUAUAUAAGAGGCUAAAAAAUUUUAAAAAUAGACUAGGAUUAGAUACCCUAUUAUUUUAAAAUAUAAGUAAUAUACUAGAUUAUUAUAAGUUAGUUACUUUAAAUUUAAAAAAUUUGGCGGUAGUUUUGUCUAUUCAGAGGAACCUGUUUUUAAAUCGAUACACCACGUAAAAUUUUACUUGUUUUGUAUGGUUUGUAUACCAUCAUUGUUAGAUAAUUUUUAAAGAAAAAUAAAUUAUUGCAAGCAGUUUAUCUGAAAAAAUUAGAUCAAGGUGCAGCUUAUAAAUAAGUUAAAAUGGGUUACAAUAAAUUUAUAUUUAGACGAAAUAAUAUUAAAAAGAAUAAAAUUAGGAAGGUGGAUUUGAUUGUAAUCUAAGGUUUAGUAAGAUUAGGAGAAA
rnacentral:rRNA from 1 species